AGGAUGAACGCUGGCGGUCUGCUUAACACAUGCAAGUCGAACGGAGUACCUCGGUACUUAGUGGCGGACGGGUGAGUAACGCGUGAGAAUCUGCCCUUAGGUCGGGGACAACCAUUGGAAACGAUGGCUAAUACCGGAUAAGCCGAGAGGUAAAAGAUUAAUUGCCUAGGGAAGAGCUCGCGUCUGAUUAGCUAGUUGGUGAGGUAAAGGCUCACCAAGGCAUCGAUCAGUAGCUGGUCUGAGAGGAUGAUCAGCCACACUGGGACUGAGACACGGUCCAGACUCCUACGGGAGGCAGCAGUGGGGAAUAUUGCGCAAUGGGCGAAAGCCUGACGCAGCGACGCCGCGUGGGGGAUGAAGCUUCUCGGAGUGUAAACCCCUUUCGACCCGGACGAAACGCCCGCAAGGGCUUGACGGUACGGGUAUAAGAAGCCCCGGCUAACUACGUGCCAGCAGCCGC
rnacentral:rRNA from 1 species